UACGUAGGGUGCAAGCGUUAAUCGGAAUUACUGGGCGUAAAGCGUGCGCAGGUGGCUUUGCAAGACAGAUGUGAAAUCCCCGGGCUUAACCUGGGAACUGCAUUUGUGACUGCAUUGCUGGAGUGCGGCAGAGGGGGAUGGAAUUCCGCGUGUAGCAGUGAAAUGCGUAGAUAUGCGGAGGAACACCGAUGGCGAAGGCAAUCCCCUGGGCCUGCACUGACGCUCAUGCACGAAAGCGUGGGGAGCGAACAGG
rnacentral:rRNA from 1 species